CCUACGGGUGACUGCAGUGGGGAAUAUUGGGCAAUGGGCGCAAGCCUGACCCAGCAACGCCGCGUGAAGGAAGAAGGCUUUCGGGUUGUAAACUUCUUUUCUGAGGGACGAAGAAAGUGACGGUACCCCAGGAAUAAGCCACGGCUAACUACGUGCCAGCAGCAGCGGUAAUACGGAGGGGGCAAGCGUUAUCCGGAUUUAGUGGGUGUAAGGGUCGUGUAGGCGGGAAAGCAAGUCAGAUGUGAAAACUCAGGGCUCAACCCUGAGCCUGCAUUUGAAACUGUUUUUCUUGAGUGCUGGGGAGGCAAUCGGAAUUCCGGGUGUAGCGGUGAAAUGCGUAGAUAUACGGCGGAACACCAGUGGCGAAGGCGGAUUGCUGGACAGUAACUGACGCUGAGGCGCGAAAGCGUGGGGAGCAAACAGGAUUAGAUACCCGAGUAGUC
rnacentral:rRNA from 1 species